CCUGUAGUCGGUGAUGUGCUGUAGGCCUUGCCACUCCGGCCUGGAGUCAGCAGUGGAGUAGAAGCCAUCCAGCUUCUCUCUGUACCGCCAUUGAUGCUAAAGCUCUGAUUGAUAAUUGUAAAACUGUGUGACGGUGUUUGCCCUUGUGAUGAGUUAGUGUGCAUAUUUCAAUGGCAGUGUGUUCCUUGUGAAAACAAGAUAUUUUCUGCAUGAAAAUUGUGCCAAAAGCCGAAUUGUGUGUAGUGUUUUGAAAAAAGUGUGUUUUAGAACUGCAAUUUGAGUGUAAAGCAGGGAUUGUGCUUGUAGUUUAGCAGAAUUGGUUCAGGGGGUUGGUGACUGAGUUACAUGUUGUGGUCAUUGUGUCUCAAGUACCAGAAUUUGUGUGUAAACAACUCUGAAAAACUGUAAUAUUUUUACUUUCCUUAGUCAUUUUGGUGAUGGGUGCUUUUGGUUUGAGCACCUGCCCCCCAAAAUGUCUGUGCACGUGCCUGGUUUUUCCCGGAUGUAUAUCCAUGCAUCUUUUAUAUUCAGGGAUGUAUAUCCAUGCAUCUUUUAUAUUCAAUUUACUCGGUUUCUGAUCUGGCAGGUCCAGAUGAGAAACAGUAUGCUGGGACAGCUUUGGCCUAAUAGAAAAUGGGGGGAAGCUUUACGAAAGUAGAGAAGAAGCUCAUCUGUCCAAUAUUGUCCUUCCCCGUGUCCUCACACAGGGCUCUCCCCUUCAUGGCCAUCAGCCGCUCAUGUUUAUCAGAUAGCUUGGAGUUAUUGAAGUAUUGCCUUUUGAUCAUUUCAUCUCUGGUCAUUUCAGCCUCUGACUGCUUUUGCUCUUGGCCCAACCUCUCAGUCACUAUGCGAGGAAAUUUGGUGUUUUGUGCCUCUGUCUCUCUGACACAGUUCAUUCUGGAAAUGUUGUCCCAAUGGUUUUGGACUUCAGUCUUCUUCAACUCUGUCUUUCUCUGUUCCUGCCACCUGCAGAACUUUCCGUCGUGUCCAUACUGGAAUGGAAAUACUUGCUCAUUUCCCCUUCUCAACGGCCUCUCUUUUGCUUUCUGCAGUUCAUUUUUUAAGAUAAGCUGGUGUUGAUAUUCCGCUAAAUCUAGGCUCAUGAGUUUUCUGUGAACAUUCCUUUCCGAAUGAUGAGUUUGAAGCUCAUCUAAAGGACUGGGCUUUUUUUGCAAAAGAUCCAGGUACUCAUCCUUUGCUGAGAUUUGGGUCGGCUCCUCGUCAAUCUCCAUAGGUCGUGUUUCUACAGAGUUGUUGAUGGCUGCAUACUCUGGCCUGCUGAUCAGCCUUCUGUACCGACUGGAUCUCUUAGGGUUUGUCAUUGGCUCUUCUCGUGGAGGAGUUGGCUGUAGUUUUCCCAUGUCUAUUUGUCCCGGUUUGAACACCAUGACUGUGUCCAACUCUAUAUCUGUAACUGCCAUAUAUGCAGCUUCAUUCUCUCUCCCUCUCUGUGUUCUCUCUUUGUCUUUCUGCAGUUCGUUUUCCAUGAUAAUCUGGCGUUGAUUUCCCCCCAAAUCUAGGCUCAUGGGUUUUCUGCAAACAUUACUUUCCUGAUGAUGAGUUUGAAGCUCAUCUAAAGGACUGGGCUUUUUUUGCAAAAGCUCCAGGUACUCAUCCUUUGCUGAGAUUUGCUUUGGCUCCUCAUCAAUCUCCAUAAAUUCUGUUUCUAUAGAGUUGUUGAUGGCUCCAUGCACUGGCCUGCUGAUCAGCCUUCUGUACCGACUGGAUCUCUUAGGGUUUGUCGACUGCUUUUCCACUGGAGGAGUUGGAUAGUGCCCCAUGUCCAUAUGGGUGAACACCAUGACAUCUUCCAUCUUUUUCUGUUGGGUUUUUGCUGCCUCUGUUCUAAUUCUAUUGUGAUCCAUUGCAGAUUUUGAAUAAGUUUAGUAAUAGUUGUCCUUAUAUUUAAAUAGUUAAAGUGGCUCUUAAGGAACUUGGCUCUUAAGGAACUCACUG
ensembl:lncRNA